rnacentral:lncRNA from 1 species
UUAUCUUCUGGUGCUUCUCUGUCUCAUCCCCUUUUACAGAGGCUCCCAACCUAAUCAACAUCUCCUGCAGCUGAUGACAGACACAAGAAGCAGAUGAACUAAAAGGUUAAUGGAAGGGGAAUGGUAUCUUUAUGAAGAAUGUAGAAUAAAAGGAAAGAAAGAAAUCAAUGAAGAUGUUUGGGAAUGAAAUAAGGAAGAACAGUGAAAGAAGGAGAGAACACAUCAUGACCUGGUAUCUGUCUUAGGCUUCACCCACCCAUUAGCCACCAGACCUGUGCCCCAAAAGACAUUGAUAUAGUCAUCCCAACUUCAGUCACAACAAAAGUGUGGAUCUUUCAGCCUCCAUGAUGUGUUCCUCAUCUCUUGUGUAUAUUGGCAAUAUAUCCAGCUCCUGAUCUCCUCCUGUCUUCAUAUUUCUUUCCUGUUGUUGUCC